CUGAUUAACACUUUCCAACGCGGCCAGGCACUCCGCUUCCAACUUUUCACGUUUUAAAACAAGAAGCAGCCAGCACCGCUCUCUCCCGCGGGUUAUAAACGCCGUCUGGGGCGUGGGGGACACCGUAAUUAAUAGCAGUACAGAAUCACCAUCCCUGACAACGACAGAUGCAUUUCAAAUUCUGGGUUGAACAGUUAGUGUCUGAAGUGUUUUAUUCAUGGGCACCAUGUGCAAAAACGCUCCAUCUUUGCACAAGGCUGUACUUGGGAACAAAGAGACCAGUGUCACUGUAAGGUGUAUGUUAUAAUAGAGACAUUUAUAUUAAGCUUCAGGAGAAGCCUACAGUGUAUCCAGCAAUUCUGUGGCUCUUGUGAUCACCAACCCCAUUCUAGUUUUGUUAAUGUAUUUUUUUAUAUAUACGUGCUCAUUUAGGCUCUUUCUCAUUCUGCUGUGAAGUUGUUUGGCACCAGCUAUUAACAUACACUGUUCUUUCUUUUCUCAUAGACAGUGUUAGGAUAAACCAGAAUUAGAAUAGCCUCUUCAGUACAGAUUUAAAGGGAAAAAAUACAAAAAGAAAUUUUUAACCUAACAAGUGUUAUAAAUGAGCCAAUUGUUUCAAAUUUUUUUUACAAAGAAGCAGGAAAUCAAGUUAUCUUGCGAACCUAUUUAUACACAGUAGGUAACCCUGGGUUGUAGGCAGGACUAAUAAACAAGGAAUGACAACCCAUUUCUUUUAAUGACAAGCCAACAUAUUUAUUUUUAUUAUUUCACAAAAGUAUUCACCAGACUAAUCUGUCACACAAAAGCCCCGUUCUCCCUCCCUGCAGACAGAACACGUAGCCUUACCACACUCAGGUUGAGUGAAAAAAACACCCUAAACCCAACCUUUUUGGAAUAAAAAAUGAUAUUUGAGGGCAUAUAGUUUACUUCACUGGAACAUAAAA